AGAAGUCGUAACAAGGUUUCCGUAGGUGAACCUGCGGAGGAUCAUUG
rnacentral:rRNA from 1 species